rnacentral:rRNA from 1 species
AUACGUAGGUGGCGAGCGUUGUCCGGAAUUACUGGGUGUAAAGGGUGCGUAGACGGGUAAGGCAGUCAGAUGUGAAAUACCGAGGCUCAACCUUGGGGGUGCAUUUGAAACUCAUUGCCUUGAGUGCAGGAGAGGAAAGCGGAAUUCCUAGUGUAGCGGUGAAAUGCGUAGAUAUUAGGAGGAACACCAGUGGCGAAGGCGGCUUUCUGGACUGUAACUGACGUUGAUGCACGAAAGCGUGGGGAGCAAACAGGAUUAGAUACCCUGGUAGUCCACGCUGUAAACGAUGGAUACUAGGUGUGGGGGGUAUCGACCCCUUCCGUGCCGGAGUUAACGCAAUAAGUAUCCCACCUGGGGAGUACGACCGCAAGGUUAAA